rnacentral:rRNA from 1 species
AACGAACGCUGGCGGCAGGCUUAACACAUGCAAGUCGAACGCCCCGCAAGGGGAGUGGCAGACGGGUGAGUAACGCGUGGGAAUCUACCCAUCUCUGCGGAAUAGCUCCGGGAAACUGGAAUUAAUACCGCAUACGCCCUACGGGGGAAAGAUUUAUCGGGGAUGGAUGAGCCCGCGUUGGAUUAGCUAGUUGGUGGGGUAAAGGCCUACCAAGGCGACGAUCCAUAGCUGGUCUGAGAGGAUGAUCAGCCACAUUGGGACUGAGACACGGCCCAAACUCCUACGGGAGGCAGCAGUGGGGAAUAUUGGACAAUGGGCGCAAGCCUGAUCCAGCCAUGCCGCGUGAGUGAUGAAGGCCUUAGGGUUGUAAAGCUCUUUCACCGGUGAAGAUAAUGACGGUAACCGGAGAAGAAGCCCCGGCUAACUUCGUGCCAGCCGCCGCCGUAAGAC